rnacentral:rRNA from 1 species
GACGAACCGUGCAAACGUUGUUCGGAUUCACUGGGCUUAAAGGGCGCGUAGGCGGACGACCAAGUCGGGGGUGAAAUCUUUCAGCUCAACUGGAAAACAGCUUCCGAUACUGGUCGCCUGGAGGGAGGUAGGGGUGCGUGGAACUCAGGGUGGAGCGGUGAAGUGCGUAGAUAUCCCGAGGAACGCCGGUGGCGAAAGCGACGCACUGGACCUUUCCUGACGCUGAGGCGCGAAAGCUAGGGGAGCAAACGGG